GUGUGGUCAUAAUUUGAAAAAAAUACAAAUGGCCGAUACGGAAUUGUCUUUUUGAAAAAGCGGGAACAUGAGAGAUGACUCCAUCUUGAGCAUCGAGUCGUUCGGAAGUUUUGUUUUGAAAAUUCAUUUUGUAUUUUAUUAAGUGUGACAAGUGUUUCAGUAAUCUAGUUUAAUAUCUUAAUAAUAAGAUAGUUAUAACAAAGAUAUAUGUAAAUGAAUGUUUAUAGAAAUUUAAACAAAAUUGAAAAAAUUUUAGAAGAAUUAAAUAGCUUCAGUUUCGUUGAAAAUCAUCAGCAGUAUCAAGACAUAUACUUUGAGUUUUGGUGUACACUUAUAACUUACUGUGGCUUAAAUAACACCUAAUUAAGCACAUGUAUCUUCAAUCCGCCGACAAAUGAUAGAGAAUGAAAUUGGUUUUAUGGCAAUUUGUCUAUAUUUGGAUUUUUGCUUGAUAUAAACAGGAGCCCCGAUUAUAGACAAUUACCAAGACUCGUUUGAACGAAUAAAAAUGAUUAUUUAUAAACUUCAACAUUCACAGCGACCGUGAACAGAUUUAUCUAAGAAAAUUAACUUGAACAAUAAAAGUACUUGAGUUUAAAAUUUAAAAUAAUAAAUACAAUGAAGCAUUGAAAUCGAAUGGCCCGCAUCAGGUUGAUUGGAGAACCCCCACAUUGAUGAUAGGACUCACUCAGUUAGUAUAUCAGAAUAGGAAGACCAAAGAAGAUUCACAAUAUAUUGAAGAACCACAAGAGCCAGGAUCCAGGACUAUACAUAAGCAUACUGUCUAUGUAAUAACUAGUACAGUAGAUAGAUUCCAAGUGAUGGAAGUAAAGCACAGCAUCUGAUCUGAAGCACGUUUUUGCCGUGCCGAUGGAACGAACAAUAGAGGUGGGAUGCUCAUUUGUCUGCAGAUAUUGUUGUCUGUUCGGGUGGAAACAUGAUCUGCGUACUCUCCACCCCUCCUUUACUCUACCACACAUGCCCUUUUUUUAUUUCUCGUUUUAACAUUAUUCUUAAAUGGCCGAACUACGAAUUUAAAUUAUUAUUAUUUUUUUCAUCCAACCAACACAAUGCAACCCAUAAAAGUGCAAUAAACAACCUUAAUACGCAUCAACAAAUCGUUAUAAUUAUUGAAAACAUUGCAAUUAAAUUUUAUUUAUUAUUGCUGUAAGCUGUAAUAAAUGUAAUAGUUUAUGAGAGUUUAAGCUCAGUGAAGUAUUUACAAUUUUAAAGAAAUCGGUCAAGUAUUAUUAAAUAAAUAAAAAAAAAUUGGGCUGCUUCUUCUUCUCCUUCUUCAUCUUCUUCGGAGAAUCUGGAGAAGAGAAAGUGAUGUGGGGUAAAGUUUUUAGUUCAUUGGGCAAAUUAACAAAUUCGUGACGACAUAUUCGACGUCCCCAUAGAUUAUGUAGGGCCUUCGCGAGUUGAGGAAUAUACGUGUAUAUGUAAGGCAAAAAGGGAGAAGUGGACAGUGGACCUGAUGUUUCGGUAUACCUCGAGGACCACCAGGUAUAAAGUAUGUAGAUUUACCAUCAGGGAGACGAAUACGAUCGCUUAUCUUGGCCAUCGCAGUUCAGCUUCCUUAUUAACAGAUGAUCGGGCACUUAU